UGAGAGCGAGAUAAUUAAGUGUAAUAAGAUGAACUGCAAGGCUAACACCUCCUAGCUAGAUAAUCUUCUGUGGUUAGCACAACCGAGAACAGAAAGCAUGCAUUUCUUUGACAGGAAGAAGCAUCAAGAUUACAUUAAUGCAGACAAUGACAUCAAAGUUCAGGAUCAUAUUUAGGACGACAUGGGUUUGGCAUUAGGGGGCGUUACCAGUUCUGAAGAAGAUUGAUCUUCAACAAGAGGGAGGACAAUGCAAAGAGGUAUGUGCAACUCUUUAGAUACACCAUAAACCGAAU
rnacentral:lncRNA from 1 species